UACGUAGGGGGCAAGCGUUGUCCGGAAUCAUUGGGCGUAAAGAGCGUGUAGGCGGCUCGGUAAGUCCGCUGUGAAAGUCCAGGGCUCAACCCUGGAAUGCCGGUGGAAACUGUCGAGCUAGAGUCCGGAAGAGGCGAGUGGAAUUCCUGGUGUAGCGGUGAAAUGCGCAGAUAUCAGGAGGAACACCUACGGCGAAGGCAGCUCGCUGGGACGGUACUGACGCUGAGACGCGAAAGCGUGGGGAGCAAACAGG
rnacentral:rRNA from 1 species